rnacentral:rRNA from 1 species
AGGACGAACGCUGGCGGCGUGCCUAAUACAUGCAAGUCGAACGCUUUUUCUUUCACCGGAGCUUGCUUCACCGAAGAAAAAAGAGUGGCGAACGGGUGAGUAACACGUGGGUAACCUGCCCAUCAGAAGGGGAUAACACUUGGAAACAGGUGCUAAUACCGUAUAACACUAUUUUCCGCAUGGAAGAAAGUUGAAAGGCGCUUUUGCGUCACUGAUGGAUGGACCCGCGGUGCAUUAGCUAGUUGGUGAGGUAACGGCUCACCAAGGCAACGAUGCAUAGCCGACCUGAGAGGGUGAUCGGCCACACUGGGACUGAGACACGGCCCAGACUCCUACGGGAGGCAGCAGUAGGGAAUCUUCGGCAAUGGACGAAAGUCUGACCGAGCAACGCCGCGUGAGUGAAGAAGGUUUUCGGAUCGUAAAACUCUGUUGUUAGAGAAGAACAAGGAUGAGAGUAAAAUGUUCAUCCCUUGACGGUAUCUAACCAGAAAGCCACGGCUAACUACGUGCCAGCAGCCGCGGUAAUACGUAGGUGGCAAGCGUUGUCCGGAUUUAUUGGGCGUAAAGCGAGCGCAGGCGGUUUCUUAAGUCUGAUGUGAAAGCCCCCGGCUCAACCGGGGAGGGUCAUUGGAAACUGGGAGACUUGAGUGCAGAAGAGGAGAGUGGAAUUCCAUGUGUAGCGGUGAAAUGCGUAGAUAUAUGGAGGAACACCAGUGGCGAAGGCGGCUCUCUGGUCUGUAACUGACGCUGAGGCUCGAAAGCGUGGGGAGCGAACAGGAUUAGAUACCCUGGUAGUCCACGCCGUAAACGAUGAGUGAUGAGUGUUGGAGGGUUUCCGCCCUUCAGUGCUGCAGCAAACGCAUUAA